UACGUUACCAAAAAAAUGGUGGACGUUACCACGUGUUCGCGGCAAUUGAUGCAUUUCUUGUUUUCAAUAAUACUCUACCUUGCCACAAGAAAAAAAUGAAGUGACAUUUAUAAACAUUUCCGUGUUUUGCAAUUCCGUUUCUUUAAAAUUUUUAAAUGAUUGAUAAUUUAUCGCCCUUUGAAUCGACACGCCAUUUGUAAACAUCGAAAGUCGCGGAGAAAAUGGAACUACCAAAAACAAUUAUUUGAUGAUUUAUUUCGAUUGUAUAAAGAAUGACAGUUAGCGAAUCUCAAGAUCAACCACUGUGGAUUGUUUGGCUUGAUGCAAUGACCUUAAACAGUGAAAUGAUUUUCCAGGAAGGUCUAUACACAACAAGCUGGAUUUUAUGGGGUGAUGAAAGAACUAUGAAUAUAUAAAUGGGAAUGAAACAGAAGGAAUUAAUAUGUUCUACUGAUCAUCCAGCUGUAAUCAUGCCUGUGGAAUAGAGUGCAUGUCACAAAUACUGAUAUGAGCAAAUAACUCCAUAUUGCACAAAUAAUGUCAUGUUUCCUUCCCUCAUGACCUGAAAAAGUUAAAAAUUCUAGUUCAAAUUACAGAUGUGUUUCAAGAAAAAGCUGUGAAAUUGUUUGAGAAGCACUAUCCUAAUUGUUCUAACAAUACAGAAUUUAACUUAUAAAUUUUCCAAAACUGCAUGCAUGAAAUACUAAGACAUGUCUGUUGAAUGAAUCCUAGUUGUUUCAAAACUACAACAUGUGUGACAUUAAAGCACAACCUUUGGACGAAACAUUUUUACAAUAAAA